UGGAGGACUUUCCAGUGAGGGA
rnacentral:misc_RNA from 1 species